rnacentral:rRNA from 1 species
ACGGAGGAUUCAAGCGUUAUCCGGAUUUAUUGGGUUUAAAGGGUGCGUAGGCGGUUUGAUAAGUUAGAGGUGAAAUACCGGUGCUUAACACCGGAACUGCCUCUAAUACUGUUGAGCUAGAGAGUAGUUGCGGUAGGCGGAAUGUAUGGUGUAGCGGUGAAAUGCUUAGAGAUCAUACAGAACACCGAUUGCGAAGGCAGCUUACCAAACUAUAUCUGACGUUGAGGCACGAAAGCGUGGGGAGCAAACAG